AGUGCUGAGUUCACACGCUUGGUAUCUACUGAUCUCCAUCAGUCCUUUUUUGAGGGACUAGACAAAUAUGUCCCAAAACUCCUGGAGAUGUACGAGAUUCAAGGUCAGCGGUCUUCUGACCUACAGCGUCUGCUUUGUCGCAUGGAUGAACAAACUUCAAACCAGAAGAGAAGAGCAGCUGCUCUAAUUGGGCUGCCGUACUACCUGAGGGAGGACUCCAGCCGUUUCAUCUUGGUCUGUGAGACAAACAGUUCAGAUACGGAAGCAGCAAAGGGAGUGGACAUUGGCCUUGUUGUCUUUGUGGAGAACGGUGAUAGAGAG